GAGGGUAACAGCUCAGUGGUAGAGCGCGUGCUUAGCAUGCACGAGGUCCUGGGUUCUGUCCCCAGUACCUCCA
rfam:Camelus ferus unplaced genomic scaffold scaffold1185, whole genome shotgun sequence.